AGCUAAUGUCACCCAAGGGUAGUCGUGUAGUGAGCUAAGCUACCUUUCACCAUGCCAUUUAAAGGGGAGAUCAUUUCUUCAGGAGAUGCAAGAGGAUACACAGAUGACACUGGAACGCACUGCACGAGUCACUAUCCUAGUCAUAAGCCAAAAGAGAAGUAGUGUGCACUUACGAUGUUACCAACCUAAAGUCGCUAUCAGCGACGAUGGAACAGUUGUGAUCGAG
rnacentral:lncRNA from 1 species